AGCAGUCGCCACGGUAAUACGUAGGGUGCGAGCGUUAAUCGGAAUUACUGGGCGUAAAGCGUGCGCAGGCGGUUUUGUAAGACAGGCGUGAAAUCCCCGGGCUCAACCUGGGAAUGGCGCUUGUGACUGCAAAGCUAGAGUGCGGCAGAGGGGGAUGGAAUUCCGCGUGUAGCAGUGAAAUGCGUAGAUAUGCGGAGGAACACCGAUGGCGAAGGCAAUCCCCUGGGCCUGCACUGACGCUCAUGCACGAAAGCGUGGGGAGCAAACAGGAUUAGAUACCCCAGUAGUCCCUGUCUCUUAUAC
rnacentral:rRNA from 1 species